UACGUAGGGGGCUAGCGUUGUCCGGAUUUAUUGGGCGUAAAGAGCGUGUAGGCGGCCAGAUAGGUCUGCUGUGAAAACUCGAGGCUCAACCUCGAGAUGUCGGCGGAAACCAUUUGGCUAGAGUCCGGAAGAGGAAAGUGGAAUUCCUGGUGUAGCGGUGAAAUGCGCAGAUAUCAGGAAGAACACCCGUGGCGAAGGCGGAUCUCUGGGCCUUACCUGACGCUCAGGUGCGAAAGCGUGGGGAGCAAACAGG
rnacentral:rRNA from 1 species